rnacentral:rRNA from 1 species
UGAGGAAUAUUGGGCAAUGCCCGAAAGGGUGACCCAGCAACGCCGCGUGGAGGAUGAAGGUCGUAAGAUUGUAAACUCCUGUUAGAGGGGAAGAAUAACUAAGUUUGGAGCUUAGUAUGACUGUACCCUCAGAGAAAGCCCCGGCUAACUACGUGCCAGCAGCCGCGGUAAUACGUAGGGGGCAAGCGUUGUCCGGAUUUACUGGGUGUAAAGGGCGCGCAGGCGGAAUGGAAAGUCAGUGGUGAAAUCCUACAGCUUAACUGUAGAACUGCCUUUGAUACUUUCAUUCUUGAGUUCGGGAGAGAGAGACGGAAUUCCAGGUGUAGUGGUGAAAUACGUAGAUAUCUGGAAGAACACCAGUUGCGAAGGCGGUCUCUUGGUCCGAUACUGACGCUGAGGCGGGAAAGCGUGGGGAGCAAACA